GCCCCCGUGUGCGGACUCAGCGAGAAGGCAGCUGUCUGCAAGCCAGCAAGGGAGAACCCGACCGGGCUGGCCCCACCGAGUCCACGCUGUUUUAUGAUGGCAGCCCGAGCUGCCCAUGACGCUGUUCAGGGACCAACAAGUGAGCUCUGAGAAAACAGUGAAAAGAUUUUCGGUGCUUUGAAAGAUACCUUUCAAUUGUCUUGCCGAGAGCGUCCCACUGUGCUGUAUUUGAAAGGGCACGAGAGACAGAACCACUGGUCUGGAGGAAAGGGACGACCACAGAGACAGGACUCUUCCGUGCUUGAAGCCGGAGACAGAUAAUUGGAUGGCACACGAGCACACAGGGGGACAUUUGGACACAGACACCUGCCCACGAGGAGAGCACCAUGUGAUGAUGAAGGGAGAGAUCAAGGCGAUGCAUCUACAAGCCAAGGAAUGCCAGAGGUGGCUAGCACACCAGCAAGCGCUAUGAGAGAGGCCUGCAACGGAUUCUCCCUUGCAGACCCUCCCUCAGGAGGAAGCAGCCCUGCGGGCGCCCUUAUCCUGGAAGUCCGGCCUCCAGAACUGGAAGACAAUACAUUUCUGCUGUCUAAGACA